ensembl:lncRNA
GCUGGCCCCAGUGAUGUCACAUAUGCUGAUGUACAGAUUAAGAUGAAGCCACAGGGGAACAGAGCCAAACCCACGUCCUCUAAAGAAGAAUGUUUUUACUCUUCUGUCCAGCCCGGGUGCUCAUCAGAUGCUUGACAAUGACACAAGUGCACUUCAAGUGACUCCAACUGCACAAGGAUGAAGUAGCAAAGCCUGGAUGUGUGAGAUCAUCAUCAUGAUCAAGAGCCAUGCACCCAUAAACAUCAUUUAACCAGAAGUAACGGGUAUCAACAGGUUGUGUUAGUGAGAUGCAUAGUGACUGCACUGCCAGAGUUAUUCCUUCCCUGUGCUGAGUGUCUUUCUGGUACUGUAGUAUAAUACAUGUUUAUCAUAUUUGA